GCCCAGGCGUGGUGGCGCGUGCCUGUAGUCCCAGCUACUUGGGAGGCUAAGGUGGGAGGAUCGCUUGAGCCCAGGAGUUCUGGGCUACAGUGCGCUAUGCUGAUCGGGUGUCUGCACUAAGUUCGGCAUCAAUAUGGCGACCUCCCGGGAGCAGGGGACCACCAGGUUGACUAAGGAGGGGUGAACCGGCCCAGGUCGGAAACGGAGCAGGUCAAAACUCCCGUGCUGAUCAGUAGUGGGAUCGCGCCUGAGAAUAGCCACUGCAGUCCAGCCUGGGCAACAUAGCAAGACCCCGUCUCU
rnacentral:SRP_RNA from 1 species